UACGGGGGGAGUAAGCGUUGUUCGGAUUUACUGGGCGUAAAGGGCGCGUAGGCGGUCAGCACAAGUCAGUUGUGAAAUCUCCGGGCUUAACUCGGAAAGGUCAACUGAUACUGUGCGACUAGAGUGCAGAAGGGGCAACUGGAAUUCUCGGUGUAGCGGUGAAAUGCGUAGAUAUCGAGAGGAACACCUGCGGCGAAGGCGGGUUGCUGGGCUGACACUGACGCUGAUGCGCGAAAGCCAGGGGAGCGAACGGG
rnacentral:rRNA from 1 species